rnacentral:rRNA from 1 species
AACGAACGCUGGCGGCAGGCUUAACACAUGCAAGUCGAGCGCCCCGCAAGGGGAGCGGCAGACGGGUGAGUAACGCGUGGGAAUCUACCCAUCUCUACGGAAUAACGCAUGGAAACGUGUGCUAAUACCGAAUACGUCCUUCGGGAGAAAGAUUUAUCGGAGAUGGAUGAGCCCGUGUUGGAUUAGCUAGUUGGUGGGGUAAAGGCCUACCAAGGCGACGAUCCAUAGCUGGUCUGAGAGGAUGAUCAGCCACACUGGGACUGGGACACGGCCCAGACUCCUACGGGAGGCAGCAGUGGGGAAUAUUGGACAAUGGGCGCAAGCCUGAUCCAGCCAUGCCGCGUGAGUGAUGAAGGCCCUAGGGUUGUAAAGCUCUUUCACCGGUGAAGAUAAUGACGGUAACCGGAGAAGAAGCCCCGGCUAACUUCGUGCCAGCCGCCGCCGUAAGAC